rnacentral:rRNA from 1 species
CUAACACAUGCAGUCGACGGCAGCACAGGAGAGCUUGCUCUCUGGGUGGCGAGUGGCGGACGGGUGAGGAAUACAUCGGAAUCUACCUUUUCGUGGGGGAUAACGUAGGGAAACUUACGCUAAUACCGCAUACGACCUACGGGUGAAAGUGGGGGACCGCAAGGCCUCACGCGAUUAGAUGAGCCGAUGUCCGAUUAGCUAGUUGGCGGGGUAAUGGCCCACCAAGGCGACGAUCGGUAGCUGGUCUGAGAGGAUGAUCAGCCACACUGGAACUGAGACACGGUCCAGACUCCUACGGGAGGCAGCAGUGGGGAAUAUUGGACAAUGGGCGCAAGCCUGAUCCAGCCAUACCGCGUGGGUGAAGAAGGCCUUCGGGUUGUAAAGCCCUUUUGUUGGGAAAGAAAUCCUGUCGAUUAAUACUCGGUGGGGAUGACGGUACCCAAAGAAUAAGCACCGGCUAACUUCGUGCCAGCAGCCGCGGUAAUACGAAGGGUGCAAGCGUUACUCGGAAUUACUGGGCGUAAAGCGUGCGUAGGUGGUGGUUUAAGUCUGCUGUGAAAGCCCUGGGCUCAACCUGGGAAUUGCAGUGGAUACUGGAUCACUAGAGUGUGGUAGAGGGAUGCUAAAUUUCUGGU